rnacentral:rRNA from 1 species
GUAGGGAAUCUUCCACAAUGGACGAAAGUCUGAUGGAGCAACGCCGCGUGAGUGAAGAAGGUUUUCGGAUCGUAAAACUCUGUUGUUGGAGAAGAAUGUAUCUGAUAGUAACUGAUCAGGUAGUGACGGUAUCCAACCAGAAAGCCACGGCUAACUACGUGCCAGCAGCCGCGGUAAUACGUAGGUGGCAAGCGUUGUCCGGAUUUAUUGGGCGUAAAGCGAGCGCAGGCGGUUUCUUAAGUCUGAUGUGAAAGCCUUCGGCUCAACCGAAGAAGUGCAUCGGAAACUGGGAAACUUGAGUGCAGAAGAGGACAGUGGAACUCCAUGUGUAGCGGUGAAAUGCGUAGAUAUAUGGAAGAACACCAGUGGCGAAGGCGGCUGUCUGGUCUGUAACUGACGCUGAGGCUCGAAAGCAUGGGUAGCAAACAGGAUUAGAAACCCCAGUAGUCC